CAGAAGUGUUGAAACUCUGUAGAAUUCAGGGGAAGUCUGGGCUGGGUCAGAGCCUGUGUAUUUAUCCCUCUGGGAGUUUCCAGCUUUGUGUGGGCUCAAUGUCAACAAUUUUUAUCCGAGAAACUCUAGAGCUGGUCAAGGGCCAAAGUUCUCUUUACCCAGCCCAGGUUAUUGGCAAGAAAACUCAAAGCUUACGUUUUUAUGAAAGAAAGAGAUUUGAUUGUCAGGAGAGGAGAAGGCCAACGUUUGUCUGAUGCCAGGGCCUCUGCAUGUUUAUUGCCGUUAAUACUUGAAACGUUCAAAGCACAAAGGAAACUGGCCAUUCAGGAGACUCCUGUAAUGAUUUGAAGUUUGAAGACCCUGGUCUGUGUUUGCUUGUCUGCCUACUAUGUGUCAGACACGGAGACUAUGAAAUUCAACGGAGAAGUGAUAGAAUUGAUUUAAAAAUGCAAUGAAUGCAUAGUCAUAAACCAUGGAUGGAGGCAGCAUCCACCAAAGUCAGCUCCUCCCACUGGCAAGAAACUCAGCAGAACCUGCACAUGCCCUUUGAAGAAGAAACCUUGAUCAGUCCCCCAGGUGUGAGGCUAAUAGCUGACCCACUUCUGUCAGGAAAUUGCUUGAUCGUGGGCGUCUGCAAACAGUGAGAUGAGGCUACGUGACCAUUGCUCAGAGCCUCCAUCCCCCUUCUCGUUCCUGCUGCCACCAGAUGGUCCUGAGAUAAUGCCACGUCUUUCCUGCAAGAAACAACAUUCCUGAUCCAUUCUGCCAAUCCCCACUGAUCGUCUUGGGAAUGCGAUUCCUCAGCCUCUCCCCUCUUGUCAUCGUUUCCCCUGUCUUAUCUUCAGAGGGCUGGGGGACCUGAGCUGGUCUCUUUCCAAGGAGAAUCAAUCAUCUCAUGUCAGGCGCUCAGGGGGCUCACGUAGCUGAUAUAAACGUGCAGUCUGGGAGUUCCGGCUUGCCCAUGGGGCCUUACAAUGUGUGUGUGACUACGCUAUAGUUCUCAAAAUUAUUUAUGAUACCAAUCUUACUCCUUCUAUCUUGAGAUUCAUGUUCUUUAGUCAAACAAAUCAAACAAGUGGAGUUCUUGCCUCUCACAAUUCCCCUGGGAGACUAAAAACAAGAUGAUGUUAGCUCAUAAACCUGGCUUCCAGCCAAGCUUUGAUCUCUGAUCCCAGCCCUUCCCUUGGUCCACAGCAUGAUUCUAGCCACAGUUAGACAACAUCUCUUUCUAGCUCUGCUGAUGACAGAAGAAGCAAGGAGUGGAGAUUAUUGAAUCAAUAGUUACUGUUCCUGGAUAUUAAUUAGUAAGAGGGAGAAUAAGACCUCAGAGAUGAGAUCAUUGUUAGCUGGAAGAAAAAGCUGGCAGAAAUAGAUGGCACUAUUAUCCUAUAUCAUUCAUCUUUUGAAGUGUGAAACUGAUGGCUGACAUGCAAAGGCCCGAGGGUUUCAAACCCAGAAACUAUGGAAGAUCCUUUGAAUGCAUGGCUUGACAUAGGCGAAUUUGGGCACUUGUAGCUUUCAUAUUUGAGGUUUCAGUGAUUUUCACGCUACCCUCCAAAGGCCAUAUUAUACCACUGUUUAAAAUUUUUGCCAAGGCACAAAUUCGGAUUACACUAUGAAAAGCAAGUCAUCUAGCAAAUGAAU
ensembl:lncRNA